rnacentral:ncRNA from 1 species
GAGUAACGCGUAAGAACCUGCCCGUGGGAGGGGAACAACAACUGGAAACGGUUGCUAAUACCCCGUAGGCUGAGGAGCAAAAGGAGAAAUCCGCCCAAGGAGGGGCUCGCGUCUGAUUAGCUAGUUGGUGAGGCAAUAGCUUACCAAGGCGAUGAUCAGUAGCUUGUCCGAGAGGAUGAUCAGCCACACUGGGACUGAGACACGGCCCAGACUCCUACGGGAGGCAGCAGUGGGGAAUUUUCCGCAAUGGGCGAAAGCCUGACGGAGCAAUGCCGCGUGGAGGUGGAAGGCCUACGGGUCGUCAACUUCUUUUCUC